UGCACUUCGAUCUUGGUUUUCUGAUGGGCCGUUGACCUUUUGGUUUAACUUCAGUAGUCCACGUCUCUGUCCCCAGCCCCCUCACUACCCCCCGGACGUCCUUUCCUCUUCAGUAGGAGAUGCACAAGGGAAAUCUCCAGGAGCCCGGGACAGGGAGAGGCUCAUUUGCCCAGAGGAGCCCCGAGUCGGAGCGACCCCCGUCUCGGGCCCGUGGACAACGACUGCGGAUUCGAGCCGGUUAACAGCAAAGGAGAACCAGGCCCGGGCCUGAAACCGCACUGACGGACCUUCCGCGGGACGCGGUUCAGCCCACGGGCGACUGGUGAGAUCUCCCCCCACCGGCGCUUCCGACGGUUCCGCCUCCGGGAGGCCCCCGGGCCCCGCGCCGUCGGCGGCCGAGGGCGGAGAAGCGCACGAAGGAGCAGAACCUGGAGCUGCCGGGCCUGGAGGAGUUUCUCACCGGCCUGCCUGGGGAGGCCGGGAGCCGAUCCGUCGCCCGGACGCUGGAGAGGAGGCGGUGGCUCUGGUGGAGGAUUCGCAGAGAGAGCUGACGGGGCCGGAUCGACCGGGGAGAGCGGAGCGGCUCGCACGUGAGGGGAGGCCUGUGCCCGUGGAGUAUCGGGGCCUCAGUCGACCGUGCCCGAUAAUAUUACUAAUACCAAUAAUCGCGGUAUUAGGGAAAUCUAAUGAGAUAGGAGAAAGGGCCUGACCCAGAAGGGUUUCUUCCUCAGUCACACGUGAUCCUCCGCCAGCUGGAAAAGCCAACGACGGCGAGUUCGAGUUGUUCCUUGGGAACGUUUGCAGGGGGGACUGUUUAUCUGACCCCGGAAUCCCCCUCCGGGAACAGCCGCUCUUCACAGCUGUUAAACAGGCAAAGAAUUGCUAAUUCAGAUGGAUCCCAUAAAAACCCCCCCCACCCCCCCGCACCCCAUCUUUGAAACUGGCUCCAGCCCUCCUCGGUUCUCGGAACACGAGUAACCGUGUUUUCUUUGUUCCGGACCGUAAGGCCGGAACACAGACCGAGGAGCCAAAGCGGCCCGUUUUUGAAGAAGCGAAUUUACCGAGGGCUUUUUGGGAGGGAUCCCAACGGAAUACGACAGUCGCUUCUGCGUACGAAGAAACCUGGGAGAACUAGGGUAGACUCGUGCAGGAGUCCCGCUGGUGGGAGAACAGGGAAAUUCCCCAACCGGGAGAGGGGAUUCAGGACCGUCACAGAUGUCCGGGGGAAAUCCUCCCGAGAGAAGGGGUCCUGUGGAUGUAAUGACUGUCGACCCGUAGACUUCAUUAAAGACUGGAGAACUCCUACGGGAGAAAAGCCCAACAAAUGUAAUGGAUGUGGAAAGGCAUUCGGUAAUCAUCCGACCCUCGUUAGACACCGAAGAGUUCAUCCUGGAGAGGAAUCCUGCAGAUGCGAGGAGUGGGGAAAAGCCUGCGGGCGCCCCUCGCAUCUUUUCGCACGUCGGGAAACUCGUACGAGAGAAAGAAGACCUACCAAUGUAACGGACACGGAAAAGCCUUCGUUCAGAGCUCAGCCCUCAGCUGCCACCAGAGAAAUACUCGGAAGGAUCCCGACAGAUGUCGUGAACGUGGAAAAGCCUCCUCUUGCCACUCAACUCGUAGCAGGCGUCAGGGAUUUCAUACUGGAAAGAAACCUGCCAAGGUAACGCAGGCGAAAAAGCUUUUAGUCAUCCCUCCUCCCUUAUUGCACGGCAGAGAAUUCAUACUGGAGAAAAACCCUGCCAGUAGCGCUUGUGGAAAAGCCUGUAGUGUUCCUUCAGUCCUCGGUAAGCAUCAGAGCAUUCGUACGGGGGAGAGACGUGUGCAACGGUUGCGGGUGAGGCUUCGGUGAACACGCGACCCUUAUUAGACGUCAGAGAAUUCAUCCUGGAGCGAAGCCCUUCGAAUGCGGUGAAUGCGGGAAAGUCCUCAGUCAUCACUCAACCCUCGCUCGGCAUCACAGAGUUCACAGAAACCCUACGCGUGUAGUGGUUGCCGAGAAGCCUUUGGUCGAUCCUCGCACCUUUUUGCACACCGGCAGAAAGACCGUACCGCCGUAAUGUAAUGCAGAGUUCACAAUGGAGAGAAGUCAUACGGAUGGAAUGAACGUGAAAAAGCCCGCAGUCAACUCUCACACUGAAUUUAUACCGGAGGGAAAAGUUAUAAAUGAAAUGAAUCGGGUGAGGCCUUCAUUUAUCACUCAAACCUGAUCACACCCCACAGAAUUUCUCCUGGAGAGAAGUCCUAUGAAUGUGGAAAAGGCCUCCAUUCAUUACUCCCACCUUACCAGGCACUGAUUGCAUAAUUCAUUCUGAAGGAGUACACUCUAAACGGAAGGAACGUUCCCCCGACCGAAUCACGUACGGAAUUUAUACCGGAGGGCGAUUCCGUAAUGUGAUGGGAGUGGAGAAGCCUUUCGUCGUCAUUCGGCCCUUCACCAGCCGCCGAGAAACCGUUCUGGAGACGAGGUUUAUACGUAGUUCAUCGGGCUCGGAGGUAAUGGCUCCGAUGUUGGUUUCCUCGCCUCCGGCCGAACGGAAACACCCCGUUAUAUGUGAUCCUGCCUCCCCGUUUGCCCGGAGCUCUCUGCCCGUCCCGGCGUGCUUUCACCUCCAGAACCUCUCUGCGCACUCUCAGCCCCUCUCGUCCCAGCCUAUUGGAUUUCCUCCCCACCUGCCACCGCUGGAAGACCAGCUCCCACCACCUCCGUGACCCCAUCCCACUACCCUGCUUUCCACGACCCUGGCAGGACUGAGAACGAGGAAUAGCCUCGUGUUUGCUGGGGAUGCUGAAUCCCGGGGAGAAAACCCGCCUCCACGUGGAGCUCCCUGCUGCUUUUUCCUUUUAUUUAUUUGUCCUUGCUCCUUGGGCUAUUUUAAUGUUUCAUUUGAUUCCAACGCCCCUCUCUCCAGUCCUCCCCCACUGUGAACACGUGAAUUCCCCCCGAAGCGGGGUCUGUGACCAAUUCCCACUUGUAUUCUCUUUCCCAGGGCCGAAUGGAGAGCUCUGCACACAGUGAGCACUUAUUAAAUACUCUAACCACUA